rnacentral:lncRNA from 1 species
UCCACAUUGACUGGAAUCCAUCAUGACCACCUGAACUGUGAAGAAAUUAUCCACGAGCAGUGACUACAAUGAACCCUACAUAAAGGAAAACAGAAGUGGGAGUGGAGGAGGGGAGGCUCAACCAGGAGGAAGGAGAAACCCUGAAGGCUCAGUGUGCUAAAUAAAGCCUUAUCUUACUUGAAAUGGACAUGACACCCACUCCACUUGUUUAUAAGACAGAACGGCUUUGAAAAGAGAAAGAUUCAUCCAAAAGAAAUGUUUCUACCAUUCAACAUUUAGAAGAGAUUAAGAAACUAUCUUUCAUCUCCCAGACAA